GAUGAACGCUGGCGGUAUGCUUAACACAUGCAAGUCGAACGGACUCUUCGGAGUUAGUGGCGGACGGGUGAGUAACGCGUGAGAAUCUGGCUUUGGGUUCGGGACAACCACUGGAAACGGUGGCUAAUACCGGAUGUGCCGAGAGGUAAAAGAGAAAUUGCCUGAAGAUGAGCUCGCGUCUGAUUAGCUAGUUGGUGAGGUAAAGGCUCACCAAGGCAGCGAUCAGUAGCUGGUCUGAGAGGAUGACCAGCCACACGGGGACUGAGACACGGCCCAGACUCCUACGGGAGGCAGCAGUGGAGAAUUUUCCGCAAUGGGCGAAAGCCUGACGGAGCAAUACCGCGUGAGGGAAGAAGGCUCUUGGGUUGUAAACCUCUUUUCUUAGGGAAGAACAAAAUGACGGUACCUAAGGAAUCAGCAUCGGCUAACUCCGUG
rnacentral:rRNA from 1 species